AAUCAACGCUGGCGGCGUGCCUCAGACAUGCAAGUCGAACGAGAAAGUUUCCUUCGGGAGACGAGUACAGUGGCGUCCGGGUGAGUAACACGUGGGUAAUUUACCUUUGGGUGGGGAAUAGCAGCCGGAAACGGCUAUUAAUACCGCAUAAUGCAGCGGCUCGACAUCGAGACAGUUGUUAAAGCGGGGAUCUGACAAGGACCUCGCGCCUAAAGAGAAGCCUGCGUCAGAUUAGCUAGUUGGUAGGGUAAUGGCCUACCAAGGCUGUGAUCUGUAGCCGGCCUGAGAGGGCGGUCGGCCACACUGACACUGACACACGGGUCAGACUCCUACGGGAGGCAGCAGUCGGGAAUCUUGCGCAAUGGGCGAAAGCCUGACGCAGCGACGCCGCGUGAGGG
rnacentral:rRNA from 1 species